GGUGAACGCUGGCGGCGUGCCUAACACAUGCAAGUCGAGCGAACACACGAUGAGCUUGUGCUCCUGCCGUUAGCGGCGGACGGGUGAGUCACACGUAGAUAACCUACCUAUAAUACUGGGAUAACUUCGUGAAACCGGAGCUACUACUAGCUCAUAUAUUGAACCGCAUGGUUCAAUAGUUAAAGACGCUUUUGCUGUCACUUAUAGCUGAAUCCGGGCCGCAUUGGCUACUUGGUAAGGGCACGGCUGACCAAGGCGACGAUGCGUAGCCGACCUGAUAGGGUGAUCCGCCACACGGGAACUGAGGCACGGGCCAGACCCCUACGGGAGGCAGCAGUGGGGAAUCUUCCGCAAUGGGCGAAAGCCUGACCGAGCCACGCCGCGUGGGUGAAGAAGGGCUUCGGGUUGUAAAACUCUUGUUUUAGGGAAGAAAAAAUGGGGGAUUAACCUGUCCAGUCUUGACGGUACCUAAUGAAGAAGCCACGGCUAACUUCGUG
rnacentral:rRNA from 1 species